AAUCAACGCUGGCGGCGUGCCUCAGACAUGCAAGUCGAACGAUUAAGACUCUCUUCGGAGAGUGCAUAAAGUGGCGCACGGGUGAGUAACACGUAAGUAAUCUACCCUCGAGUGGGGAAUAACAACCGGAAACGGUUGCUAAUACCGCAUAAUGCAGCGGCACCGCAAGGUGACAGUUGUUAAAGAUUUAUCGCUUGGGGGAGGAGCUUGCGGCAGAUUAGCUAGUUGGUAAGGUAAUGGCUUACCAAGGCUACGAUCUGUAACCGGUCUAAGAGGACGGUCGGUCACACUGACACUGAAUAACGGGUCAGACUCC
rnacentral:rRNA from 1 species